GCCGAUUGAGCCGGCGACGCCGGCGGGGAGGUUUUUGUCGAGUGUGUUAUUGAAUGAACGGAAGUCGUUUCAUGAUGCUGUGGCGGAUACGUUGGAGAAAUUAGUGGCGGAACUCGAUGAAGCUUACGCGCGUAGGUCACUCACCGCUGAUUCGAGUGAAGCUCAUCUUCAUAGGUGUGUACUCUGUUCUUCAAUAUUUUCAACCUUUAUUCUCAUGGAUUUUGAUCGGAUGUUAUUUAUCUUGUACUUGUUGAAGUUCUCCAUCUAUAUCUUCACAGAAACCUAGAACAGAUUUAGUAACAUCAGAUCUGUUUCUAAGUUGAGAUAAUUUCCAAAACAGAAUCAACGAAGUUGUAUGUCAAUUUGCACUUGGUUAAAGCAUGUUGCUAGGGUUUCUAGCGAUAUAUGAGGGUAAAACUAAAAAAGUCGAUCGACAAGUAUGCAAGUAUUUAAUAAUCCAGAACAAACAGAACUUCCAUUAAAAGCUACUAAAUGGACCCCAAAUCAAAAUCUACAGAUACUUUACGCAUUAAUAAGCUAAAUCUGCUAAACCUGAAGACCUAAUUUUUGCUAAUUCAAGUAAAUCGACAGGAGGAUUGCAGAGCUGAAAAAGCGUGAAUGCAAAACCGCAGUAGAAGAUGUCAUGUACAUGUUAAUCCUCUACAAAUUCACGGAAAUCAAAGUCUAUCUAAUCCCGAAGCUUUCAAUGUGUAUCUACAACGGUAGACUAGAAAUCCUGCCAUCAAAGGAUUGGGAACUGGAGUCCAUUCAUAACUCCGAGAUCUUAGAGAUGAUAAGAACACAUCUAACCUCCGUCAUCGGAUGGAAACCAGACUUUAGUGUCACCGACAACUGGGCCACAACAAAAAUCAAACGUCUCAAUCUCCGUCAUAUCUACACAUCUUCCAUACUGUUUGGGUAUUUUCUCAAAUCCGCCACCUUGCGCCACCAACUAGAGAUGAGCUUCACCGAUCCCAUUGAUGACAUGGUGUUGAACUCCGGCAACCACCUUCCCCUCCCGGAGUUUUACAGUCUCCGACGAAACAAAAACCUGGUCUUCGGUCAACCUCCCAACACAAUUUCAA
rnacentral:lncRNA from 1 species